GAAUUGCGAAAAGUAAUGUGAAUUGCAGAAUCCGUGAAUCAUCAAAUUUUUGAACGCAUAUUGCACUGUCUGGAAUCCCGGGCAGUAUACCUGUUUGAGUAUCAGUUCCAUCUCCAAUGCGCUAGCUUUCGCUGGUUCAAAGGGAUUUGAGUCUUGACUCGGCUUUGCCGAGACUGACUUGAAUAAUAUUAUGGUCUAGGAUUGUUCCUGACUGACAGAGUUAAUCUGCACUCUAAGUGUGGUGAUCUGUCUAGUCUGCACGAUAACUACCAUUUUUCAAAUUUCUCACAUUUCAUAUGUGUGUUUCUUGAUCUCAAAUCAGGCAAGAUUACCCGCUGAACUUAAGC
rnacentral:misc_RNA from 1 species